AGAACCCUUACUUUAUAAACCCUCCUCAACCCUUCCAAACCCUCCCAGCCAAGCAAAGCCUAAGAACUCAAGUGCAAAAUGACCCCUUCGGCGGCCGUGGGUAUGUCUGAGUUCAUCUCUCUCUCUCUCUCUCUCUCGUGUUUAGGGCUCGUCUCUCCGGGACCUCCGAUGGCGGAGUAGUCCACGGAGGGAACCGUGGGGCGUUCGCGACCCCGUUGCUGAUGUCCGAAGGCUCCUAAGACCCCGAUCGGAGACCUAGGCAUGUAGAUCUCGCCGGAGUAUGAGGCCUUUUUCGAUCACUGAUCUGGCCGCAUUACGUGGUGUGGGAGACAACAAGAAUGCGCUGAUACAACUACCUUGAGGAUCCGAUCGGAACCGAAGACCUACCCCGCUAUGAAAGUGGUUUAUAGAGAUAUGGGCUGAGCAUCUAAGAGGUUUAGGAGAAGAGGAUAUCACACACGAUUGCUUGGCAUCUGCUGAAGUUUUUCAUCCAUUGCAGUGUUCUGCCUCCCAAUGAGAACAGUGUAAGUUUUGUUUUUUCUUUUCUGCACAUAAUUUGAUUGUCAUCUCAAUUUUGCGAUGCUUGCUCUCAUUUAGGAUUAGCAUCUAAGGCAUCUUUACUCAUUAGUCUGAAUCACAUCCUAUGAAUCUAGGUUUAAGAUGCUUAGUCCCAUGCCUAUUUGAAUCUAGGUGCAAGACAAUUUACUCCUUCAUAUAUUAGUGCUUAAUAUUGGUGUAAGAAAGUUUAGUCCUUAAUAUAUUUGAGGCUUAAUCAAGGUGUAAGAUGGUUAGCCCCAUGCGGCAAGAGCAAACAAGGUCUAAGAUCAGUUGUUCAAAUGCCUUUUGAUCUCAUUUAGAUAACAAUUCUGCAAAUGCGAUCUCACAUACCAGAUAACCACAAACAUGUAUGGAUUCACACAUAUCUAAUCAUGUAGCUUGGCUUUUUUAUUCUUACUUACAUCUAACUUGAAGUAUCCCAACAGUUUCUAACACUUAGAUGCAUACAUACAUCUCAUGCAUGCAUUGCUGUCUGGUCUUGAUCUCCGGAGUAUGUGUCCAGAUGACUACUGGGGACAGCACAUAGGGCACACUCAUCUGCUCAUCUAUAUGUAAUUCCAUCCAUCCAUUCAUCCAUCCUUGAGGAUUAUUGCUUUCUUUUUUCCAAUCUUACAGACAGACCUGCAUUCAUGCAUCAUUGUGUGUUGUGCAUCUGUGCAUGGAGUACAAAUAUAAUUGAACAUGUUUUUCUACUGUGCUUGUUUGUCUAGAGGUUAUGGUUAGAAUAGAUCUGCAACGCAGGAUAAGAGGUAAGAAUUGGUUACAAAGAUAGAGGUAGACUGGGUUAUAAUUUCAUAUGAAGGUGAGGGUAAGGUUCUUGAACCCACGAGUCUGUAAAUAGUUUCUAAACUAGGAAAGGAGCGAGAGUAAGGUUCUUAAACCUAAGAGGUGUAGCUAGCUUCUAAACUAGGAACAGAGUGAUUAGUUUUGAACUCUAUUUAAAAAAUAUUUAGUAAUUCCUGAACGGAAACUUAUUUUUUCGGGGAUCCAAAAUGAAUUUAAGUAUCCACAAUGAUAUAUAUAUAUAUAUAUAAGAGCAAACUUAUUGGUGACUACAAAAAUUGCGGGGUGUAGAGUAAUUGGUGGAUGGUAUGUUAGGAAUAAGCCAGGAAUAUCUGUAAGAGUAUGAUAGAAUGUUGUCAAUAUGACGUAUAUAUGGCACUGGAGCAUUUUUGGGAGUGUAUGUGCAGACGGGGAGUUUCGAUGGGAAGAUGAUUAUAUGGUUGUGUGGUAAUGUACUAUUCCAAUUUUCAUGGCAAUGUAGCACUAGCAUAUGAAUAUGUUGAUCUGAUGAUUUUCUUGAGUUUU